GAGUCAGGGAGAGGCCAGCCAGCUGCUGGAGGAGGAGCGGAGGAGGAGCUAGCUGUAUUAGAGCACAGAGUAAGUGGAUCAUGCUUCCAGUUCCUUGAAAUCUGUUACUUGAUUCUCCGCCAAGACUCGAGAGACAGCAAGAACAAAAGCCUCCUUCAGGCUCCUGCUCUCGAUAAUGAGCGAAUACACAAACCUCAUUCAGUGCAGUGGAUGGCACACAGAUGUCACAACCCAAGAGUCCUGAGCCCUUAAGACGUGUUAGUUAGAGACGGGAGAAGCUUCAACAAAGCCACGUCAAACAGCAUCACAUAAAACUUGGUACACGCUGGCAGUGGCAGUGGUGGGAUGAGCAGCUUCAACACCAAGGGUACCUUGUUACACAAGCAAAGUCCCUUGAUCCACACCAAGGAGACUCUACCAGACAAUCUGUAUUUUCACUUACAUCCAAAAAGCAACGCAGGACCUCAAGGUGAGACGGGACAUCACUUAUCUACUGUUACCGUGAUGUAGUACCCUGGAGGCAGAGAUACCUGGCUGCUGCUACGUCAGUCAUCUACAAAUGAGGAAGGCUGCAAAAAGCAAAACUAGCUUGAGACCCUGAGAGUCAGCUCCACUUGUCAUUGGAAAACAUAAGAAGCAAAUGAUUGUUUCUCUACCUGAAGCUAUUUCUCUACUUGAAGCAUAUCAUCAGUCCUACUUUGGUUCUUCUCCAACAAAAUUAAUGAUUUCCCAUGUGAUUUUUAUUUAAUUUUUGUUUCAUUGUGCUGUUAGGAACAGGCAAUUGGAGUUAAUUGUCUUUAACAAGUUGACUCAUGGAAUGAUUUCUUCAUUACUAGGCUUACUCCUUUCUUUCUUCUUUAUUUCCUUUUUUUGUUUGUUUGUUUUUCCAGACAGGUUUUCCCAGUAGCUAUGGCGCCAGUCCUGGAACUCAUUCUGUAGACCAGGUUGGCCUCGAAUUAAUAGAGAUCCACCUGCCUCUGCCUCCCGAGUGUUGGGAUUAAAGGUGUGUGCCACCAAGGCCCAACAUCCAGGCUUGUUUCUACAAGCCCAACAUCCAGGCUUUGCUUGUUGAAGGAAGACUAUCUGGGGAGAAUUUAUCCUGUCAGGCCUUGCAUAGAAAUCUUAACUAAACCAGGCACAGUGGUGCAACCUGUAGUCUCAGCGCUUGGGAAACCGAGGCAGGAGGAUUGCUAAAAAUCCCAGCUCAGCCAAGGCUACUCAGGGGAAACUUAUCUCAAAACAAACAAACACAAAACCUAAACUGAGCGCUGGAAGCAUUGUUAGAACUAAUCUAGUAUUCGUCUGUGCAAAGCAGAAGGCUGGUUGUGGACGACCCCCCUGACUGCUCCUCUAGGGAGCGCUGAAGUGAGCUGCUCGCUCCUCCCCAUCCCAACCUUGACCUGCAGUUUCUGUCUCCUCUGUUUCUCCCCCUGCUGUGAUUUCUAAUGGAAUAAAUUUUCAGGAAGUCUACUGAUUGAAUCCAUGACGAGCGUGUAAUUGACAGGAGCAGCUGGGCCCUCUUGACACAUGACCGUCCUCUCAUUCUUUCUGAUGGCUUCUUUUCAAUUCCCACCUUAGCCCUCUCUCCUGCUUCUCCUUUGCUGGAGGACGUCCCUGAGGAUGCGGUAGAUUUCCUGCUUCCGGUGUGUCCCUAUCGCUCUUAUUUGAGAAGGAACAUUUUUCGCAUUUCCGAGGGCACUCUGCAGAAACCAUCCUGUUUUCAUUCCUUAGUCUUAGGAGCUUCUACAGGGUCUCCUUGGCUGCUUGCCAGGGCCUCAUCCCUCUUACCUGAAAACUCUGAAGAUUUGUGCCAGCCAUUGAUGUCUGUCUUUCCAUGCUGACCCCAAACUUGGCUCUAGCGUUUGUGGUGUGGGGUUUGCUGACUUUAAAGUUAGAAAGCUUAUUUUAAUCAGAUUUUUCUUUGUGUUUUCUUGCUUGUGGACACAAACUGGAGUUAUUUUCAAUGACCUUUUCGAUACUUAUUUUUAAACAAGAAAAACUAGGCUUUCUAAAGACGGUAAUGAGAAUCUGAGUGCAAGAAGUUUGUCUUCAUGAGUUUGAGGGCAUAGGGACCUGAGUUCUAUAAUUAUCAUUUUUUCAGUUUGUACAUGGAUUGCUGCCUAUUUUAUUUAUAAAAGCCAUGUAAAGGCAUAGUGAGUACAUCUGAGAAGCUUCUAAGAGUCUCUGUGGCUAUCACUGCCUUUGAGGUCCAGCUUACUAUCUUCUGUCUGGAGAGGAGUCUGCUGGGAAUUGCUGGUUUUGUUUGGUUUGGUUUGGUUUUUCAAGACAGGGUUUCUCUGUAUUAUUUUGGAGGCUGUCCUGGAACUCAUUCUGUAGACCAGGCUUGGUCUAGAACUCACAGAGAUCCUCCUGCCUCUGUCUCCCAAGUGCUGGGAUUAAAGACAUGCGCCACCACCGCCCAGCUUGCUGUUUUUUUUUUUAAUACUCAGUCUUUAAUGGCCACUAAGAGUUAAGCUUUCCUAGAAGUGACCCUAGACACUUCCUGCUCCUUUGCUAGCUUGCAAUUUAAAGGAUGUGACUCCAAGUUUAAUCCCAGUUUCUAGUGUUCGGGAGUCGGUGAAUUCCCUAACCUUUCUGAUCAUCAUUUUAUCAGGUUAUUGACCACAGUAACAUUACUGCCCGUUGCAGCAAUGGGGUAUAUUCUACCGUAGAGAAGCAGAGCAGGCUUUUUGUUUUUUGGCUCUUUCCUUUUUCCACUUUAAGAUUAUCAGAUUAAUAUAUGGAUGGAUGCUUGAACGACAUACAUGUCUGUGGAUCACACGUGUGCCUGGUGUCCGAUGAAGCCGGAAGAAGGCUUUGGAUCCCCUGGAACUGGGGUUAUAGAUGGUGGUGAGCCAUCUUGUGGUUGCUGGAUAUUGAUCUCAUGUCCUCUGGAAGAGCAGCCAAUGCUCUUAACCACUGAGCCAUCUCCCCAGCCCAUACACAUUUGUUUUUUAAGUGUGCCCAAUGCUGACUAUAAAACCUAGGUUUAUGGGGAGAUAGUGAAAUCCCCAGGUGAAAGUGUGUUGUUGCUAUGAGCAUGGCUGUGUCCGGGACCUCAAUACCCCAGCUCCAUGACUGUGGCACAGCCUUCCUCUGGACCGAGUUCAAAUGUUGAGAGUGUGCGGAAAUGUCCACCAGAGUUCUUCUCCCUGAGGGUAUUUAUGGCCUGAAGACAGAUCACACCAAGACUAGCUAACCCUGCCUCCUGCCUGGUGUUCGGUUGGGUGAUGUAAGCCUGCCUCCCUUCAGGGUGGUUACCUAACAAACAUGAUCACAAGCUGCUGGCACACUGUGACUUCUCCAUCUGAGAACCCAGAUCACCUGACUGAUCUCAGCUUUCCUGUGUGUCUGUAUGUGUGUCUGUUUGCCAUUUCUUCAUUCCUUUGUUGUCCGAAGACAGGCUUCUGGAAGCCAUUCCUGAGACUUUUGCUGCUCUGUUACAUGGUAUUGCGAUAAGCUUCGUGUAUUCUUAGCAUUUUCAACUAAAUUUAAAUAUCUUACUAGCCACAAAUCUCUAAGAUACGAUACCUUCCCUUACCCAUCCUAAGGGUUGUGGUGAACACAUUUAUAACAUAUAACGGAUUAGUAAUGGGAAAAUAUCGGUUUUCUGUAGCUAAAGCAUAUAUGGCACGGGAUCCUGAAAAGAACAAAGGCAUAACCCACAACGGAAGCUGUCUGCUUUUAUUCUUACGUUCGGUGAAAGGACCAGCAAAUAGAAGGGGAAGUCUAGCCCUGCCUGCUUAGAUUCUUUCUUCUUGGAACUUGUGGGUAGUCUUUCUUCCUGGAAGGCAGUGUCAGUGACCUUGUUAGGUCUCACGGUGGGCAGAGGAGCAAAGAACCCAGAGCACAAGACAUCCUGGAUCCUGAGCCUCACCUCAAGAGACAAUGUGGGUGUCUACAGACAGGAGAAGAGGAGACCACAGAGAUCUGGCUAAGGUGGCCCCUCGGGGUCCUUUAAUCCAGACUGUGUGGCAUUGUCAAAGGGCAAAGACUUGGAAGUACCUGAGCCCCGACACAUGGUAACUCCAGAUCACUACCAAUUAGCAUCCAAGGGCUUGCAGGAGAUGUUGGAGGCAGUAUGGGGCGUAUGUUUCUCUUAUGCUUUUAAGGCAUAUGUCAUUGUAUUCAAAUGUGGAUACAGAAGAGUCUGUCUUAGGUGAUCUUUUAAUUUUCCUUCAUUGAAUCUAGUUAUACAAAGUUACUGACAAAUAAUUGUAGCUUAUUCCAAUAAAGCACACUUUGAUUCUAAUGUACCUUAAGCAUAGUAUUAAAUAUGCAGUUAAAUAUGACACAUGCAAAAGUAGUAUUUAAAAUAAUCACUUUUUCUAAACCCAGAUUUCAAAUGUCUAUGAUAUGCAGGCUGGUUCCCUAAAUUUCUAGUAGGUUUUCUGAAAGUGCUUAGUGCUAUUUGGACCAACGGUAGAUCUUAAAACACUCACAUGAGCUGCUAAUGCAUUUGCAACAGACUUCUGAGGGAGGUUAUACAUUGCUUAGACUGCAAAUAGGAAAAAUGCAAAGGAGUCAGGAGUCAAGACCUCCUGAGCACCCUUGAAAUGCUUAAUGGUUUCCCUUGCUUCCUUUUCCUUCAUAGUGCGUACGGGCAGCCUGGCCAGUAACCUGUCAAUCAAACAAUGUGAGAAUACCUGUUAAGGCAUAGGCUAUGAGAUCAUGUGGCGUGAAGACUGGAAGGCAGGCAGCAGAGAGAAGAUGACACAGCUGUUUCAAAACUGUAUCGUCUUUGCAGUCUGGCUUGUUCCGGUUCUAUCAUCACUAUGCUUUGGGUUCAGCCACGACCCACAGCAUCGGUGUGUUCCCCAGAAGGACUCACUGGGUGGUGUGGAGUAGUUUUCUUUCUGGUAUCUUAGCAAGGAGCUCAUAAUUUUCCUCUAAGGUUUUUUUGUCUGUUGUCUGUUUAUCUCACCCUACAUCUUAUUUUGCUCUCUCUCUCUCUCUCUCUCUCUCUCUCUCUCUCUCUCUCUCUCUCUCUCUGUGUGUGUGUGUGUGUGUGUGUGUGAACACACUAUAACACAUGCUUAUGUGUCACAACCCACAUGAAUGUGGAGGUCAGAGGACAGCUUGUGGGAGUCACUUCUUUCCUUCAAACUCAGGUCCUUAGGCUCAAUGGUAAGUGACUAAUUCCUCUACAGGCUCGACCAUUUCACUAACCUGUACUCAGUAUUUUUAAGGGAACAAAGUAAUUUACUAUAUGGGACUAGAAAGAAGUAGUUACAGUAUAUAGUUGAAGACAUUUCAUUCUUAUAUUUUUUCCACAAGAGAAAUGUAUUUGUUAAUGCAGCACACAAAAUACAUUAAUCGGUAAAUUGUCAUAAAGUCCUUGGUGCCAUCCUUGGGGGAGUCUGUUUAAUUAUGUCUUCAAGUAGGAAAUGAUCCAUUUAGUUUGCAACUAAGUGUGAACACAUUUUGGAAUAUGUUGCCUACAUUUUUUAUGCACUUGGAGGCCUAAACUGAGAUCUGCAAUAAAUACACUAAUUACA